CUAAAAAACUAGGUCAUGUAUUCGACCAAGAACCCCUAGUGUUACCAAACUAUCCUACUGCUGAGCAAAGAACUGCUUAUAAAAAGUAGACGGAUGAAGAUAGUUGGAUCAAGUGCUAUAUGCUGGCAUAUAUGUCAAAUAAGUUACAGAGUCAGCAUGAGCAUAUGCCCAUUGUCAGAGCUAUGAUCACUCACUUACAAGAGUUGUAUGGUGAGUA
rnacentral:lncRNA from 1 species